rnacentral:rRNA from 1 species
AUUGAACGCUGGCGGCAGGCUUAACACAUGCAAGUCGAGCGGGGGAAGGUAGCUUGCUACCGGACCUAGCGGCGGACGGGUGAGUAAUGCUUAGGAAUCUGCCUAUUAGUGGGGGACAACAUCUCGAAAGGGAUGCUAAUACCGCAUACGUCCUACGGGAGAAAGCAUGGGAUCUUCGGACCUUGCGCUAAUAGAUGAGCCUAGGUCGGAUUAGCUAGGUGGUGGGGUAAAGGCCUACCAAGGCGACGAGCUGUAGCGGGUCUGAGAGGAUGAUCCACCACACUGGGACUGAGACACGGCCCAGACUCCUACGGGGGGCAGCAGUGGGGAAUAUUGGACAAUGGGGGGAACCCUGAUCCAGCCAUGCCGCGUGUGUGAAGAAGGCCUUAUGGUUGUAAAGCACUUUAAGCGAGGAGGAGGCUACUCUAGUUAAUACCUAGGGAUAGUGGACGUUACUCGCAGAAUAAGCACCGGCUAACUCUGUGCCAGCAGCCGCGGUAAUAC